GAUGAACGCUGGCGGCGUGCCUAAUACAUGCAAGUCGAGCGAACAGAUGAGGAGCUUGCUCCUCUGACGUUAGCGGCGGACGGGUGAGUAACACGUGGAUAACCUACCUAUAAGACUGGGAUAACUUCGGGAAACCGGAGCUAAUACCGGAUAAUAUAUUGAACCGCAUGGUUCAAUAGUGAAUGACGGUUUUGCUGUCACUUAUAGAUGGAUCCGCGCCGCAUUAGCUAGUUGGUAAGGUAACGGCUUACCAAGGCAACGAUGCGUAGCCGACCUGAGAGGGUGAUCGGCCACACUGGAACUGAGACACGGUCCAGACUCCUACGGGAGGCAGCAGUAGGGAAUCUUCCGCAAAGGGCGAAAGCCUGACGGAGCAACGCCGCGUGAGUGAUGAAGGUCUUCGGAUCGUAAAACUCUGUUAUUAGGGAAGAACAAAUGUGUAAGUAACUAUGCACGUCUUGACGAUACCUAAUCAGAAAGCCACGGCUAACUACGUG
rnacentral:rRNA from 1 species